AUGGAGGAGCGGCUUGCCUCCAACAAGAGAGCUCCGAGGAAGCCGAAGCCGAAGCCGAGGCGGACCAAGCCCACCGUCCCCGCCGCACCCACCAGCAGCCCGUCGUUGACCUGCCCGCCACGCCCGCCAGGCGUUCCACCGCCACCUGGGCCUCCUCCGCGGCUGCGUGGAGGCCCUGUCCCGCCGCCGCCGUCUAUGAAAGUGCCCGGCAAGGGCCGUCUGCCUGUGGCUGUGGGCGGCGGCGGCGAAAGAAUGCGCCGCGCGCCCGAGAUCGUGGAGUUCUACCAGUCCCUGACCAGGCGCGGCGAGGCCAGGCAGGCUGGCUCCCGAGGCCCCAAGGCGUCCGGCGGGUCAACGGCUCCCAAGAGCGACUUGAUCGGGGAGAUCACCAAGAACUCCCCUCAUCUCCUUGCCGUGAGUUCAAGCCGACGUGGAGACCCAAGGGGACUUUGUGCGAACCUUGGUCGCCGAAGUCCGGGAUGCGACCUUCGCGAGCAUCGAGGACGUCGUCGCGUUUGUGACAUGGCUCGACGAAGAGCUCUCCUUCCUGUGGAUGAACAAGCAGUCCUGAAGCACUUCGACUGGCCGGAGAAAAGAGCAGACACAUUGUGA
rnacentral:rRNA from 1 species